rnacentral:rRNA from 1 species
CCUACGGGAGGCAGCAGUGAGGAAUAUUGGUCAAUGGGCGCGAGCCUGAACCAGCCAAGUCGCGUGAGGGAGGACGGCCCUACGGGUUGUAAACCUCUUUUGCCGGGGAGCAACGGGCGCCACGUGUGGCGUCACUGAGAGUACCCGGAGAAAAAGCACCGGCUAAAUCCGUGCCAGCAGCCGCGGUAAUACGGGGGUGGCGAGCGUUACCCGGAUUUAUUGGGUUUAAAGGGUGCGUAGGCGGAUCGUUAAGUCAGGGGUCAAAUUGAGGGGCUCAACCCCUUCCCGCCAUUGAAACUGGCGUUCUUGAGUGGAAGAGAAGUAUGCGGAAUGCGUGGUGUAGCGGUGAAAUGCAUAGAUAUCACGCAGAACCCCGAUUGCGAAGGCAGCAUGCCGGCUUCCGACUGACGCUGAAGCACGAAAGCGUGGGGAUCGAACAGGAUUAGAUACCCCGGUAGUC